UACGUAGGGUCCGAGCGUUGUCCGGAAUUAUUGGGCGUAAAGGGCUCGUAGGCGGUUUGUCGCGUCGGGAGUGAAAACACGGGGCUUAACCCCGUGCCUGCUUCCGAUACGGGCAGACUAGAGGUAUGCAGGGGAGAACGGAAUUCCUGGUGUAGCGGUGAAAUGCGCAGAUAUCAGGAGGAACACCGGUGGCGAAGGCGGUUCUCUGGACAUUACCUGACGCUGAGGAGCGAAAGUGUGGGGAGCGAACAGG
rnacentral:rRNA from 1 species